GACGAACGCUGGCGGCGUGCUUAACACAUGCAAGUCGAACGGAGUUACGUAUGAAGUAUUUCGGUACGGACUAUGUAACUUAGUGGCGAACGGGUGAGUAACACGUGGGCAACCUGCCCUUAACCGGGGGAUAACAUUGUGAAAACAGUGCUAAUACCGCAUAACAGAGUAUCGGGCAUCCGAUAUUUUUAAAAGGAGCAAUCCGGUUUUGGAUGGGCCCGCGUCCAAUUAGCUAGUUGGUGAGGUAACGGCUCACCAAGGCUACGAUUGGUAGCCGAACUGAGAGGUUGAUCGGCCACAUUGGGACUGAGACACGGCCCAGACUCCUACGGGAGGCAGCAGUGGGGAAUAUUGGGCAAUGGGCGAAAGCCUGACCCAGCGACGCCGCGUGAAGGAUGAAGGUCUUCGGAUUGUAAACUUCUUUUGAUCAGGGAAGAAAGAAAUGACGGUACCUGAAGAACAAGCCACGGCUAACUACCGUG
rnacentral:rRNA from 1 species